rnacentral:rRNA from 1 species
GAUGAACGCUAGCGGCAGGCUUAACACAUGCAAGUCGAGGGGUAACAUAAGAGUGCUUGCACUUUUGAUGACGACCGGCGCACGGGUGCGUAACGCGUAUAGAACCUACCUUAUAUUGGGGGAUAGCCCAGAGAAAUUUGGAUUAAUACCCCAUGGUAUGCUGAUUUGGCAUCAUUUCGGCAUUAAAGAUUUAUCGAUAUAAGAUGGCUAUGCGUCCUAUUAGCUAGUUGGUAUGGUAACGGCAUACCAAGGCAACGAUAGGUAGGGGUCCUGAGAGGGAGAUCCCCCACACUGGUACUGAGACACGGACCAGACUCCUACGGGAGGCAGCAGUGAGGAAUAUUGGACAAUGGAGGCAACUCUGAUCCAGCCAUGCCGCGUGCAGGAAGACUGCCCUAUGGGUUGUAAACUGCUUUUAUAGAGGAAGAAACCCCGGUAUGUAUACCGGUCUGACGGUACUCUACGAAUAAGGAUCGGCUAACUCCG